CACCUGAAAUUUGGCCUGGAAACUGAUUACUUGCGCAGCAUGCGGUUGGAAAGAUAGUACGAUAAAAAUGAAUGCAGAAACCGGUCGCCCAAGCUAGAUGAUCCGUUCCGAAGCCCUGCAACUUGCAUGCCGGUCAACGAAUUUGGACGCAAGAUCACUGGUUGCGCAACCAACAUGGGACUGUUUCCGGUAAGUAUGGGGAACUAAUCAUCGCGCGCUGAUCAUAUAAACAUUCAUUAAUCCAUCAAGCAGUGUUAUCGGGCAAUGGGAACGUCAGGGCCAAGAAAUGUUUAGAUACGGCGCAGUAGCUGAACAUUUCUCUACCAUCUCUUUCCCACCAAGAAUACUGCAUGACAGUACGAGUACAUAAUGAAGAAACGGACGCCCAACAGCAACAGACCGCACACGGAAAAGUGGGAAAUGCAAGUACGGUGCCGGUUUCCUGUACACAACAGCCGUCAACGUUGCGCAGUUCAACCGCAAAACGGCAAUUUGCUGAAACGUUCCCUUUUGUAACAACAGCUGCUGAUAGCGAUCUACCGGAAAAUUAGCUCAAAAACCAACAAAUUUUAUUUUUUUGCGGUUCCAUAGUGAUUAAAAAUCCGCCAUGAUUCUCAUUACUGCAAAUCGUUAUUUACCCUAUUGUGAA